CCGAAACUACCGCGUAGUGGGGAAGGAACAUCCCUUUCCCCCGUCCGUUCCAGGCGGCGUCCCUCCGCGUCGCGCCACAUGGCUCCGCCUGCCGCCUCCACCGUCGACGUCCUCGGCGACGACCUGCUGCAGGAGGUCUUCGUCCUGCUCCCGGGCCCCGCCGACCUCCUCCGCGCCGCGCUCGCCUGCCGGCCCUUCCUCUGCGCCGCCCGCAGCGCCGCCUUCCUCCGCCGCUUCCGCCGCCGCCACCCCUUCACCUGCCCACUCCUCCUCGGCUGCCACCUCCACCGCCCCGGCGAGCACCGCGGGAACAGCGCCCCGCGCCUGCUCCCCGCGCCCCCCGCCGCCGCCACGCGCCGCGUCGCCGAGCGCGGCGACUUCGCGCUCUCCUUCAUCCCCCGCCGCGGCCGGCCGGGCGCCGCCGGCGCCGGCACCCCCUGGCAGCUCCUCGACUGCCGCAACGGCCGCCUCCUUCUGCGCAGCCGGUCGUCCCAGGACCUCGCCGUCGCCGACCCGUUGGCCCGGCGCUGGGUCUCGCUCCCCGCGCUCCCCGGCGACCACCCCGUGGGGUACGCCCUCGUCACCGACGACGGCGACUAUUCGGUGUUCAAGGCGGCCUGCAUUUCCCGAGUCGGCGACACCACGGACCUGCGCGCCUUCCUCCUCUCCUCCGCCGACCUCCGGUGGGCGGACGUGGGCGGCCUCGCGCAGCAGCCCAAUCUCGCGGCCUCCCGGGCGAUGCAGGCCAACGGGUCGCUGUACUGGAAGCUAGUGGGUGGACAGCACGUGCUGGCGCUCAACACGGCGACGACAGAGCUCGCCGUGCUGCCGCUCCCGCCUUUCCUGCGGGAGCUCAGUUUCGACGUCAUCGAGAAGGGGGAGGACGGCGCCGGCGGGCUCCAUGUGCUCACCAUGCGUGGCUUCUGCAUCGAGGUUUGGGUCAGCGAGGACGACGGUGCCGGUGGCCUGGCGUGGACGCUGGUGGACAAGUCGGUGAGGUUCCACAGGGCGAUUGCAGAGAUGAUUGGCUCGGAACACUUUUACCAUCUCACACUGGAUGUCAUCGGGGUGGCUGCCGGUGUUGUGUUCUUGCGCAAUGGCAGUUGUCUGUUCUGCAUUCAUCUUGAGACUAUGAAGAUGACCAAGCUCUCUGAGAAUGAGAGUUGCCCGUCUGCGCUGAUAUAUCCUUACACGAUAGCGUGGCCGCCAGCGUUCUUGAACUCUAUUGAAGAAGGUGCUUGAUAAGGAAUGCGAAGCUACAUUCAGCUUAUGGUGAUUAGAUUCUGUGGCAGAGCUGAUGUUGGAAAAAGGAUGUCAUUUGAUCAUCCAUAUGAAUUCGUUGCGCCAUGGAUGGAGACAGCAGUAUCAUGUUCCAGGUUUAUUUAUUCACUUAAUCUGGAUUGAAGGUUUUGUAGGGUCAUUCACAGGGAAGAAGCUGAAGAGCUAACUUGGCCUGUGCCAGUGAGUGCCUUUAUAAGGUGAAGCCGGAUCAUUUGUUCUAUCAAUUGGUGUUAGUGCCUUUUUCUCUUCUCUUGUGAAAUUUUGAGACAUGCUGCGUAUGGAGAUGGCAGACUCAGGUUAGUCUGGGGUUUGUUCUUGAGUUUAUCUGGGUUGGAGGUUUUGUUGACACAUACACUGAUUUCGCAGAGACACGCAUUAUCCUUAUUUAUGUACGCAUCCAUUAAAAUGAUGAGUGUGAGUAAUUAUA